rnacentral:rRNA from 1 species
UACGAAGGGGGCUAGCGUUGUUCGGAAUUACUGGGCGUAAAGCGCACGUAGGCGGGUUUGUAAGUAGGGGGUGAAAUCCCCGGGCUCAACCCGGGAACUGCCUUCUAGACUGCAAGCCUGGAGGUCAGGAGAGGCGAGUGGAAUUCCGAGUGUAGAGGUGAAAUUCGUAGAGAUUCGGUGGAACACCAGUGGCGAAGGCGACUCGCUGGACUGAUACUGACGAUGAGGUGCGAAAGAGUGGGGAGCAAACAGG